AAAUUGAAGAGUUUGAUCAUGGCUCAGAUUGAACGCUGGCGGCAGGCCUAACACAUGCAAGUCGAGCGGAAACGAGUUAUCUGAACCUUCGGGGAACGAUAACGGCGUCGAGCGGCGGACGGGUGAGUAAUGCCUAGGAAAUUGCCCUGAUGUGGGGGAUAACCAUUGGAAACGAUGGCUAAUACCGCAUGAUGCCUACGGGCCAAAGAGGGGGACCUUCGGGCCUCUCGCGUCAGGAUAUGCCUAGGUGGGAUUAGCUAGUUGGUGAGGUAAGGGCUCACCAAGGCGACGAUCCCUAGCUGGUCUGAGAGGAUGAUCAGCCACACUGGAACUGAGACACGGUCCAGACUCC
rnacentral:rRNA from 1 species